AGUGAACGCUGGCGGUAGGCCUAACACAUGCAAGUCGAACGGCAGCACAGUAAGAGCUUGCUCUUACGGGUGGCGAGUGGCGGACGGGUGAGGAAUACAUCGGAAUCUACUUUUUCGUGGGGGAUAACGUAGGGAAACUUACGCUAAUACCGCAUACGACCUACGGGUGAAAGCAGGGGAUCUUCGGACCUUGCGCGAUUGAAUGAGCCGAUGUCGGAUUAGCUAGUUGGCGGGGUAAAGGCCCACCAAGGCGACGAUCCGUGGCUGGUCUGAGAGGAUGAUAAGCCACACUGGAACUGAGACACGGUCAAGACGCCUACGGGAGGCAGCAGUGGGGAAUAUUGGACAAUGGGCGCAAGCCUGAUCCAGCCAGACCGCGUGGGUGAAGAAGGCGUUCGGGUUGUAAAGACCUUUUGUUGGGAAAGAAAAGCAGCAGGUUAAUACCCCGCUGUUCUGACGGUACCCAAAGAAUAAGCACCGGCUAACUUCGUG
rnacentral:rRNA from 1 species